rnacentral:rRNA from 1 species
CGACGACGGUAGUACGUACGAGGUUUGGUAGUUACCUCGGCGUCAGGAAGUGAACGACGUAGACGACGAACGGUACUAACAUGCAGUACGAGUGGGCAUCACGGGGUAGCAAUAUCUGGGUGGCGACCGGCGAACGGGUGAGUAACGCGUAUGCAACCUACUUGUAAACGGGAGACAACCUGGAGAAAUUUGGGCUAAACUUCCAUGAGGCAUUAUUACUGCAUGGUAAUGAUGUCAAACGUAAGGUUUACAAAUGGGCAUGCGUAUGAUUAGCUAGUUGGUAGGGUAAUAGCCUACCAAGGCGACGAUCAUUAGGGGUUCUGAGAGGAAGGUCCCCCACAUUGGAACUGAGAUACGGUCCAAACUCCUACGGGAGGCAGCAGUGAGGAAUAUUGGUCAAUGGACAGAAGUCUGAACCAGCCAAGUCGCGUGAAGGAAGAAGGUCUUACGGAUUGUAAACUUCUUUAGCAGGGGAAUAAAAGACGAUACGAGUUAUCGUGUUGAAAGUACUUUGCGAAAAAGGAUCGGCUAACUCCGUG